AACUGUGGCCAUACCGGCUUGUCAAACAUCUGAUCUUGUCAGAUCUCAGAAGAUAAGCAAGGCCGGGCCAAGUUAGUACUUGGAUGGGAAACCGCUUGGAAUAUAAGUUGCUACAGUGG
rnacentral:rRNA from 1 species